GACGAACGCUGGCGGCGUGCUUAACACAUGCAAGUCGAACGCUGAAGCUUGGUGCUUGCACUGGGUGGAUGAGUGGCGAACGGGUGAGUAAUAAGUGAGUAACCUGCCCUUGACUCUGGGAUAAGCCUGGGAAACUGGGUCUAAUACUGGAUACGACAUGUCACCGCAUGGUGGUGUGUGGAAAGGGUUUUGCUGGUUUUGGAUGGGCUCACGGCCUAUCAGCUUGUUGGUGGGGUAAUGGCCCACCAAGGCGACGACGGGUAGCCGGCCUGAGAGGGUGACCGGCCACACUGGGACUGAGACACGGCCCAGACUCCUACGGGAGGCAGCAGUGGGGAAUAUUGCACAAUGGGCGGAAGCCUGAUGCAGCGACGCCGCGUGAGGGAUGACGGCCUUCGGGUUGUAAACCUCUUUCAGCACGGAAGAAGCGAAAGUGACGGUACGUGCAGAAGAAGCGCCGGCUAACUACGUG
rnacentral:rRNA from 1 species